rnacentral:rRNA from 1 species
UUCUAUUAGAAAUUAUUAAUAGUAAAAUCUGCUCCAUGUAUAAUAAAUAGCCGCAAUUUGUGCUAAGGUAGCAUAAUCAUUUGUCUUUUAAAUGAAGACUAGAACAAAAGAUUUAACAUUUUCAGUUUAUUUUCCUAAUUCAUCCAAUCAAAUUUAUCCUAAAUGUAAAAAGACAUUUAUACAAAAGAAAGACGAUAAGACCCUAUUGAACUUAACUGCAGUUAAACUGGGGCAGUAAAUUAAUUAUUAUUUUAAUAAAAUUUAUUCCAUAAAUAUCUAAUAAAAUUAAAUAAUUCAGUUACCAUAGGGAUAACAGCGUAAUAAUCUUCUAAAGAUCUUAUUUAAAAUAUAGAUUACGACCUCGAUGUUGAAUUAAUAACCUAAUUAAGGCAAAACUUAAAAAAGGAAGUCUGUUCGACUUUUAAAAAAUUACAUGAUUUGAGUUCAGACCGGUGUAAGCCAGGUCGGUUUCUAUCUUCUAAAAAAUUUUUUACAGUACGAAAGGACCUAAAAAUAUAAUA